CUGAUGAUACGCCAAGUUCCCUUCUUGAUCUGCUUUGUUGUCCUGAGACCGUCAAUAUUGUGCUCCCAUCAAAAACGAAAUCUUGCGACGAUAAACCUGAUGACACCCCAAAACCCGGUCUCGGAUCAUUGUAUACUCGGUGGGGCAGAACUACUUGUCCUACUAAUUCAAGCCUUGUAUAUGACGGUGUGGCUGGUGGACAAUGGUACGGCGACACAGGUGGCGGAAGUAAUCUCUUAUGUCUACCCAACGAUCCCAUUUGGGCCAAUUAUACGACAGAAGUUGAAGAAGGUGGUCACAUUUUGGCAGUGAAUAUGAACUAACUUUUUACCCAACUAAUAAACUCUUUUCUUUUGCCAACGCUGAAUCAAUUCAUGAUCACAACGUUCCGUGUGCUGUCUGUUUGACACGAAAACCUGCUGUUGUUAUGAUGUUACCCGCCAGGACAAAGUGUUACGC